rnacentral:lncRNA from 1 species
AUUAAUAAGAGGAAAUAUGGUAGGUGAAAUCGUGAAGAGCUCGAGCUAGAGGGAUUAGCGAAAAUGAGACCGAACAAGUGUAUACAUAUAUGUCAGUGUAUAUAUAUAUAUGCACCAUAAUAUCACUAGAGAGAGAAGCAAAUUCGAAAAUGUAGGGAUUAGGCAAAAAAAAUGUGUGAAUACACGUAGAAGAGUGUUUGAUAGUCACCAAAUAGAGAGGAAACUAGAGAUGUUGAAGUUAGGGUGGGAAUGAAGUAUGGAAUCG